UACGUAGGGGGCUAGCGUUGUCCGGAUUUAUUGGGCGUAAAGAGCGUGUAGGCGGCCAAGUAGGUCCGGUGUGAAAACUCGAGGCUUAACCUCGAGAUGUCAUCGGAAACCAUUUGGCUAGAGUCCGGAAGAGGAAAGUGGAAUUCUUGGUGUAGCGGUGAAAUUCGUAGAUAUUCGGAAGAACACCAGUGGCGAAGGCGGCUCACUGGUCCGGUACUGACGCUGAGGUGCGAAAGCGUGGGGAGCAAACAGG
rnacentral:rRNA from 1 species